CUCCCGCACUCGCGCAGCCCCUCGCCUCCCCCUCCCCCUCCUGCCCACUCGCUCGAUCCUCCGUCGCCGCCUCGGUCGCCGGUUGAUUCCGGCCGCUCCGGUGAGCUCCGGCUCCGCCCAACACACGCACGAUUGCUCCUCGACGAGCUCUACCACCUUCACCGCGCCGAUCUACUUUUCGUCGCCUCCUGUGGUCGCCCCUUUGAUUUCCCCCGCUAGGGUUUCAGUGGUGGAGGUGGACCUCGCCUCCAGCGGCUGCCUGCUCGUUGCGCCGGUCAUCUCCGCCCCCGUCAAGGUCGCCCCUCGGAGCUGCUCGUGAUCCACCGGGGGAGGCGAGGAGCACCAGCAGAUCGAGUCCCUGGCGUUUUCCUCUACGAGCUGGGGCUGGCGUGCGCUUCUCCUCGCCGGUAUCACUUCUCCCCUUCCUCUUCUAUGGUGCUCGACAGAGGCAGCACGGCCGCCCCUCUUCUCCCUCGCUGUUGGCUGCCCAUGAGCACCACGCUGCUCACCGGACCGAUUUGUGACACCCCCACCGACCUGAGGUCCGCCUCUGCAGGAGGACAACAUUAUUGGUUAUGUCUGCAAUUACUGCUACUGCUACUGUUUUUGGUUUUGAGUUAUGUCUAUAUCUCAGUUGUUCUCUUUAUUAUUUUGGUUUCAAUUUCCUCUCACAAGAUCUCAGGUGUCUCUUUCCUCUCUCCAAUUUGCUAAUGGUGGUCAUGUGAAUAUUUUUGUAGAUCAGAUGUAGUAGGUUCCAAUAGCAUAUUAUGGUCUGUUUUCCUUUUUAGGCAAAAGUAGCAGUGUUUGGUUUCAUAUCUGACUAGAUUGCUUUGAAAUAUAAUUGGUUGUUAAACUCAAUUCAUUUGGAACUGAGUGAGUAGAUGAAGUGAUUUAGCUUAGCCUCCUCCAGCUAAUUUAGGUGUUGGCCAUCCAUUAUUAGAUUGUACGAAUCGAAUAGAAGUAAUCUUUGUGAAAUCUUAGCUUUGCCCGGUUCAUUCGGCGCCCUCGGAUGCAAGGAUUUUUUUCACAUUCGUGAUGGAACUACACUGUUUCCUCUGAAAUUGACUUUCAAAAGCAGAGCUCUGUAUUAUGGGUGUUGCCUGAUGCCCCAAUGCAGAUUUUUGGCUGUGCCCUUAGUUAGUCAAUUAUUUUAAGGAAAUUGUGAGGGGAAUGUGUGUGCACUCAUAGACAUCCCAAACUCUUGUUUUGUUGGUACCAUGUUGUCUAGGGGGGCAUUGGAUCUAGCUACAUUUUUUAAUAAAGUAUGUCUUUGUUGUUGAGGUGGGGUUCAGGCCUGACAGGUGGGUCAUACGAUAAUUAGAUGGCUUCAUAUUUUUUUGGAUGAAUAGAUGGAUCUUGUGGGAGAUGAUGGCAUCAACUGUCUUGCGGUUUUGCUACAUGGAUCAGAUGACAGCCAGGGCUAGAAUAGAUUCAAUUGUCUUGGAGAUGUUUCUGUCAUAUGAUAGUUAGGAGAUGCUUUGCCGCUUCAUUUGUGCCCCUUUUGAUUGGUAUUUUUGGAUGAAUAAAUGGAUAUUCUGAGGGAUGAAGGCUAAAAUAUAUUCAGUUGUAUUAGAGUUGUAGUGUAUGAAUCUGGUGAGAGAUAAGGGCUGAAAUACAUUCGGUCGUUUUGGAGUUUCAGGUUUUUUGUGCAUUUGGUUCUGGUUGUUUUGAUCUGACUAAGUGACACCUAGGUUUCAUUGAUUUCUUGGGAUUGUUCAUUAUCUUGAUCCAUGCCUGGUACUGAAUCUGAAUGUUUUCAUCUCCGGUACCAUGGCACGGCAUUGGCGGCGGCAUCUUGGUGAGGAAGAGGACGACAGUAGCUUAGGGAGGAAGAUGACACUGGCAACCUGCAGUGUAAGAGGCUGCCGAUGCCGCCGUUGGUGAAGAAGAUGCUGGGUUGCGUCAUCUUUGUGGGAGUAUUGUGGUGAAUUACAUAUUUAGAUUAUGGUAUGGUCAUGGAAACCUAGAGAAGGAAACUGACUUGGGUCUCUAGAGCCAGGACAUGAUCCAGGAGAUGUUCGUCAUGUCGAGCCUCCUAACCAUCAGCUCCAGCCAUUGGCAGCUAGAGUUCCUCGAUGGUUCAUGUGGCCUUAACCGCCGCUGGGCUCCCUGCGCCCACGCCUCAAUUCUUCUACCUCUUCUCAGCUUCGGUGCCUGUGGCGUUUGUGCUCAUCGGUGGGACGGUGCAAGGCGCAACUCCGAUGCAGCGGCGUGGAUGUGCGGUGUAGGAAGCGGUUCCUCGCCGGCUGGACGGCGUUCAGGCGCAACCCUGGCGCCCACUGAGUACUGCCUCGGCUACAGUCUCCCUCAGUGAGCCCCGUCUUCCUUCUGCUCUGCUUCGGCUACUAUAUGGGGCAUGGCCAGAGCUAUGAUGAUCAGUUAUGGCUGAUAUAGGCAUGCUCUCGAGCAGUCGAGGCACUUGUGGGUAUUAAUUUGGGUCCCCCUUGUUUCUUUGAGCCAUUUUGAUCACGUUCUUAUUUUAGUGGCUCUGUCCUUGGAUGGUCAUUUCUGAUGAGUGAUAACCAGGUCAGUUUCACCCUCGUAAGAACAUAUUGAUCUGGUGAUCCAGAAACAAGAACCGCAGAAGCUUCCGUGCGUUGUCAGCAAUUUGGCACAUCCGGCCGUGCAUUCCGGUUCCUUGAUGCGAUUCUGGUUGUUGGAUUGAGUGCGUGGAAGGCCUCGGCCGUCGGAUCGAACCCGUGCUCCUGUGCCAAUUAAUAGUUACUCCCGCGGUGAAAUAUCUCGUGCCGCCGCCUGUAAUUCACAUGCCCCACCGGUUGGAAGCCAUUCUUGCUAGGGCGAUGAUGAUUCACCGUGGUUGAAAUAAGUGUGCCUUUGAGCAGUCGAGGCACCUGUGGGCAUCAAGUUGGAUCCUCCCUCUUGUCUCUAGAAUCCUUUUCGAUCCUGUGAUACUUAUUGUUCUGUCCUUGGAUGGUCAUUCUUGUUGAGUGAUAACCAGGGCAGCUCCACUGUAUAAACAGAUUGAGAUAUGGUGAUAAGAGAUGACGGGGGUAGGUUAUAUGAUCGAGGAAAGACGAAUCUGAGCCCGCUAUGCAAUUAACCCUGAGCCCUUUUUAUUUGUAUUCAAACGUGUUGCCUAUUUAUGCUCCAGUGUUUAUAGCCGUCUUAUGUAAAGAUUUCUUCUCUCUCGUACCUUUAUUGCAUAUAAGUUUUUUUGAUCUUUUAUUGUUUGUUGUUGGUCCUUGAUUUAGUCUGCUUAAGAGUAAGUUGCACUUUGUUAUACUAGAAUUACCCGCUCCCAGCAAGUUAUCGGCUCGAGGCACCUACGUGUAUCAAGUUGGAUCCUCCCUCUUGUCUCUAAAUCCUUUUUGACCAUGUGAUAUUUGUUUUUUCCUUGGAUGAUCAUUCUUGUUGAGUGAUAACCAGGGCAGCUCCACUGUAUAGACAAUUUUUUUACUGCUGUGAUUAAGUGCUCGGUUGAUCCGAGUCAUUGAGCGGACAUUUCCUUUUGUUGUCUUUAGUUUGUUCGGAAGCUUUCCCCAGUUCUGUUUGUCACCACUGCAUUCUUUGGAUCAUGCACCAGACUAAAUGUAGGUAAACUGAGAAUUGCUGAAAGGCAGACUAUGACAUUGUUACAAUGCCUAUGCUAAAAUAAAAUGUAUGUUGCUCUCACACCUCAGCUAUGAUGCUCUAGCAUCAUUGAUUGUAGUAGCCGCAGAUCACUAGCUAGCUCUUCUUAGUUAAUUUGAGUCAGAGGAUGGAAACUUGACCUUCAAUGCUAAAUGUGGAUAACAUAUACUAGGAUACAGAGGUUGGAAACUUCAAUUUUAAGACUAAUGAGAUUCCUUGUAAAUCCUCACUUUGGUUUUAAAUUUUGCAAUGCUCUACACAUCUUUGAUUAAGGAAACAAUGUUCCAAGUGAAUAGAUUUUUAGUAGAUUCAUUUUGUGUUAUUUGUUUUGCAGCACAGGGAAUGUCUUUUGCAUGGCAGAAAGAGUUGUGGUGGGCAAAGAGGUCAUAAUUAACAAAUAACCAACUUAAUUACUUAUAUACCUAGAGGUUGUAUUUUUAAUCAACUUAGUCUUUGCAUGUGCGGUGGUUUCAACAUGUGCUUUGUCGAAAAUCCUUGGUUCAUGGCAAAUUCAAUCAAUACUGUGAGUUUAUAAUCUAGCGGAUGUGGAGCCGAUGGAUUUUUUUCUUGGAGAGUGUAUGUUUGUCUGAAUUAGUGUUCGCGUCGCCUAUGUCAUGUAGAAAGCUUGCAAACUUGCAUUGAUACAUCGUUUCCAAAUUAGUGUUCGUGUCGCCCAUGUCAUGUAGAAAGCUUGCAAACUUGCAUUGAUACAAAUGUGCAGAUCAUAUCAUAUGCCAUGCCUUUGACCUUGCGUUAUUCAAAUUUAGUGCAAACAUUUUGUAGAAUUGCUGCUCUAAUAUUUUGUGCAUUUGAAUUUAAUAUGCACUUUAUCUUCAAGGUUUUCCCAUUAUGGUUCUGUUUUGUCACAGAUAAGUGUCAAUUUCUUUAGUAUGUACAACUGAAACAUGAUCUUCCCACAUUUGUUCACCCAUGUCUACAUGUGCAUUGUGAUGUGUGCAGUUAAAAAAUGUCCAUGCUGAUGCCCGAUGAGUUCCGAUCAUUUAUCUGCAAUACUGAAUAAAUAUCUCAAUGCUUUUCUCUAAGAAAUAGAUACACUUUUGUACUGGCCUCGGCCCAUUUAAUGAUCAAGAAUAUUAUCAACUACUCUGUCAAUAACUGGUAAAUAAUCUCUCUUUUACUGGUCAAAGAAAGUUAUAUAAUUGUCUGUAGAUUAGCUAGAUAGGAGUCUAUUGGAUCGACAGCUAGCAAGUUACAAAAAAAAUUCUCUUUUUGUGCUCAGAUGUUGAAUAGUCACCGAGUUGUUAUGUUUUGGGCUCUAUUCAAAACAUGUAUUCUUCUGUAAUUUUUUUGGCCCAUAAUAAUCAGACUCGAUUCCGAAUAGCAAGUGCGCCUGAUCACUGUUCGUCCACCUCCAGUGGUUUUUGCUUGUUUUACCUUAGCCUUCAUAGUCCCUCAAGGAAAUUAUCACUGAACUCCGACAAUGGCAUUCUCUCACUUUUGUGAGCGACGCUUGAUUUUCUCUUAGUAUUAGUUCUUUACUGAAUUUUGUUGGUACAUAAAUGGUUCUUUACUGAAGAUACUUGUAUGUGUCCAUGUGUAUGGAGAAUGGUGAUGAAACCCGCGCCCACCUCCAUGCCCCACCGUCAUGCUGCUGCAGGUUCACCUCUCUCUCUCUCUCUCUCUCUCUCUCUCUCUCUCUCUCUCUCUCUCUCGGUCUUGCCUCUCCUUGCAGGUCGACGCCGUCGUGCAGCCACGGACGUGAUCUCCGACCAUCCCUCCUCAUAGCUUGCAGUCCAGGUCGAUGGCAAAUUCGAGUUCCAGGAGGCCUUUUUGUGCUGCAGCUGCAGGUUUGUGUUCUUGGGAAAAAUAUUUAUUUUUUUCUUAUAUUGGUGAUGCGGGUGAGUUGAUUUCUGCCUGAUUUGUGCCUUUUCAUCUUGAUCUGUUUAGCAUUGGAGCCCUUGAAGCAUUUGAAUGGAGCACAUAUAGGCAUGCUCCGGUUCAUCUUAGGUAAGUGUGAAUCUGCAGAGCACGGCGGAGAAGAGCCAAACCGUGGUGAGUCGAUUACAUCUUGCGGCUAUGCCCGUGAUGCAGUGGCUGGUACGCUCCCAUGGUGGCGACGCAAAUGCACUUGAUCAAUUCUCUGGAGCGACGCUGACGACGAGUUAUGGACCAUGACGCCGCCUCCCAGUCUCGCCCUCUGCUACGUCCACCAGUACACAGGGAGUGUUUCAAGCGACAGCAGAGCGAGUACCGAGAGAGGAGAUGAACCUGGGCGAGCAAAAUUGAGAACUAUGGCAGCGGUGAGUACUCCAAUGGGCGAGCAAAAUUGAGAACUGUGGCAGCGCCUGUACACCAACUCGCCUCCACCUUGGCGGGGGCGAGGAAGAGCCCAGCACCAGCAGGCGAGGAGAUCCUGAGAUUAGGAGAGAAGGAGAUCAUGGGCGUGGGAGAGGAGCAGAUACUGGGCGUGGACAUCUUGGUGCUGGGGAUUUAUUUUUCUCUUGAACCUAAAAAUCAAUCGUCUCUUGAGUAGAUGUGUGCUAAACUUGCCUUCCUAUUAACACAACAUGUAUUUGAUCUUUAUUCUCUUGGACAAGUCGUUUGGACCGGCACCCUCGCGCCAUGGCGCGAUCCUGAUCUAGUUUCUAGCAAGCUACAACAAUGUACAGGUCAUUCAUAAUGGUGAACAGUGGAAGAAACCCACCUCAGGUCUUGUAAAAAUAAA